ensembl:antisense Gm2245 predicted gene 2245
AGCACUUUGGUGUCAUCUGUGCUUUGUAUAACUUCGAGUGACUCCCCAGGUUUUAUCUGCAGAUCUCUCGCUCCCCACUUUUUAGAGGUUAAGGACGAUGCAACUUUAGUUGAAUAUAGAACUCGAAUUUCACCGUCGUACUGAAAAAGGAAUGGACCCCUCCCUUGGGAACACGUCUUUCUAUAUUUCACCUAUGAGAAAUUUCCAAACGAUGACUGGCCUAAGCCAAAUAUUGCCAAAUGGAAUUAGGAGCCCACAGGUGAGAGAUUUCAAACUUUAAGAAGAGCCUGCCUUUCUCCCUGUCAACUGCCUACCAAAGUACCAUGGACGUUUUCCACAGGCCGUUUAGCACCCAGCCAUGCAUGAUUUGGAAAGCCCUGGCGAGACCCUGCGGAUGAAAUCGUAAGAUGAUCCUUUACUUACUUCAGGCGGAAGACAAUAGCUCAGUGUCUUUCUUCUAAUGUCAAAUGUUGUUUUAGGGCCAAGGAGAUAGCUCAGUAUGAUUUAGUGUUUGCUGUGCAAGCACAGGAUCUGAGUUCAAAUCCCCAGUGACUACUUAAAAAGGGCUUGACGGCAGUGUUACACAGCAUUUUCAGUUCACCCAAGGAGGUCAAGGGGAGGUGACAAGAUGGAUUAUUGGGUGAAGAAGCUUGCCGCCAGUGACAUCAAAAGUGCCCUGUAUCUUCAGUGAUAAGACUAUGCCAUUCUGUCUGUAAUGUUUAUAGCACUCUCUCUCCAUGCUUGGUUAUUCAUCCACAGGUAUGGUCUAUUCUUCCAACUAGAAGUUAUUUGUAAUAGAGACAAAACCCCAUGUAUGUAAUUCCUUUUGUAUCUUUGAGUAUAAACACAUAGUCGGGAAUCACUAAAUGUUGAAUAGGUCUAUGAAUGAGUAAAUGAUUUUCGGGGGGAAAGAAAGAGGAAAGUCAACCUCUGCUAGAGACAUCCACUCUUACUUUGAACCAUAGAGUUUUGCUAUACUAAAUUAUAUUAGGCAAAUUAUUGGAUCUAGAUCUAUAAUUUUCCUACCCUGGCAUAAAUAAGAAGCAUGCUUAGUAGAUGGGCUCUAACAAUCUGGUAGAGGGAUUCUGCUUUCAAAUGGUCUUGGAUAUAGCUCAGAGAUCUUGCUUAGAACACCAGAGAGUUCUUGUGCAAGUGACCUAUGGGCACUUUGUGUCCUAGGAGUGAACUUUGUUUUUUUUUUUUUUUUUAAAUUAUGUAUUUUCCUCAAUUACAUUUCCAAUGCUAUCCCAAAAGUCCCCCAUACCCUUCCGCCCCACUCCCUUACCCACCCAUUCCCACUUUUUGGCCCUGGAGUUCCCCUGUACUGGGGCAUAUAAAGUUUGCGUGUCCAAUGGGCCUCUCUUUCCAUUGAUGGCCGACUAGNCAGGGUUGCAGAUCUCUUUAGCUCCUUGGAUAGUUUCUCUAGCUCCUCCAUUGGGGGCCCUGUGAUCCAUCCAAUAGCUGACUGUGAGCAUCCACUUAUGUGUUUUCUAGACCCCGAGGAGUGAACUUUGUUGUCUCCUCUUGUGGACUGGAGAUCAUUCAGUCAGGUAACAGUAACAUUGCUAGUCAGAUAGAACUAUAAAUUAUGACAUAAAGACAAGUUUUAAGUAGGUUUUUCAAAAUAACUAAAAAACAAACAAACAAACAAAACAAAACAAAACAAAACAAAACUGGAAACAACAUUCACCCAUUUUAUUUUACUGUACUGAGGACAGCAGAUCUUAAAUUCUGAUUGGCAGCAUCAACAUCAACUGAGAACCUAUGAGGACCAAAGCUCAGGCCUAUUGCAGACCCACUGAGUCAGGCACUCAGAGUCUGAUCCUGCAGCUGCCUUCUGCAGGUUUUCACGAGUAAGAUGCACACUGAGAUCUGAGCAGCAGUUCUGUAGUCCAGCGUGAGGACGUUCGGAUUCAAGCCUGUGGGACUGGAGCAACUCCAUGAAGCGUUUGCCCUGCAAAAGUGACAACUGGCUGCCUGAACCCCACCACUGCCCGCUCUCCCUUCUUAGACAAUACCUAUUUUGACUCUUUAGUUUUCUUUCCAAUUUUUAUAAUUUAAUUUUACUUUUAGAAUUUCAUAUAUAAAUACUGUAUUUACACUAUUUUUCAUCCCUCUCCAGCUUCUCCAAUAGCCUCCCCAUUUUAUGUAUUGUCAUUAUUAUCAGGUGUGCAUGAUGUGUGCACGGGAGGGUAGAGAACACUUUCAGGACACAGUUCUCUCCUUAUAUCAUGAGAUCUGGGUACUGAACCCAAGUUCUCAGGCUUGUGUGGCAAGCCCAUUCCUCAUGGGUCUGUCUUACUAGUCCACACUUUUUGCUCUUAACCAUACAGUAUCAACUGUUUUCUGAUAUUUUUGGUUAGGAUUUCAUUCUCUGAGAGUUCCUCUAUCACUCCUCGCCCAUACUGCAAGGAGCAGGACAUUUAUGAACGUCUGUAAUUGAAGUAAGAGAAUGCAGACAUUUUGAGGGACAGAAGUUCUUUUAGAAACUGGAUGAAUGGGUUGCUGACAUGGGGUGGCAGAGAAGAAGGGGAUGGUGAAGUCAGAUAACUAGGAGAGGUAUAUUCAAAGACUCAGGACCAGAAGGUACAUGUACCCUCUGAUGUAGACAUCACUAUGAUAUGACAGAAUAAAUGCUCUACCAUUUGUGUAACAGUUGACUAAAGCACCCUAGGGUGAAAAGGACUUAUCAAUUUGUUGUUCCAGUAGUUUUCAAUGAUGUGUGUUGUAAACAGUGCAAUUGGUUUUUUCUAGAGUCACUUACUUCUGUACUGGACUUUGAAAUACAGCUGAAGAAAAUAAUUUAGGAUUCAGGAUGAUAUAACACAGGCUAACCCUUAAAAGCAUCCUCCAUUCUUUCCAAAGAUAAGAGGUCCAAAGCCUGGCUAAGAGAAAUGGUUCAUUCAGAUACAAAGCUUAAAACCACAAGAUCUGGGAUAAGAACCUGUUUUUCUUAUUUAAGGUUGAAGAGGUUUCUUUGUUUGUUUGUUUUUUUUUAGCAUGCCAUGAAGCCAAAUAUGCUUUUUUCAAAAAUGCAGUUUGUCUCAAAGCCUCUGUAGGUAAACAUCUCCCUUUAGUGAGCCUUACAGCAUCUCAAUGAUGAAAUAAGCUACGAGAUCAAGC